AGCAGCCGCGGUAAUUCCAGCUCCAAUAGCGUAUAUUAAAGUUGUUGCAGUUAAAAAGCUCGUAGUUGAAUUUCGGGAUCAGCAGGUUGGUCGUGCCUCUGGUAUGCACUGGUUUCGCUGAUUCCUCCUCUCUGAAGAACUGUAAUGUCAUUAAUUUGGUGUUGCAGGGAAACAGGACUGUUACUUUGAAAAAAUUAGAGUGUUUAAAGCAAGCUAACGCUUGAAUACAUUAGCAUGGAAUAAUGAAAUAGGACGUUUGAUCCUAUUUUGUUGGUUUCUAGGAUUGACGUAAUGAUUAAUAGGGAUAGUUGGGGGCAUUAGUAUUCAAUUGUCAGAGGUGAAAUUCUUGGAUUUAUUGAAGACUAACUACUGCGAAAGCAUUUGCCAAGGAUGUUUUCAUUAAUCAAGAACGAAAGUUAGGGGAUCGAAGACGAUCAGAUACCGUCGUAGUCUUAACCAUAAACUAUGCCGACUAGGGAUCGGAUGAUGUUAAUUUUUUAAUGACUCA
rnacentral:rRNA from 1 species